rnacentral:lncRNA from 1 species
CUCUUUUCAAAAAUUUUGGUAUGAAUACAAAAGACCAAGUGAAAAUGAUACUGGAAAGACUGUUUACCGUUUGACUCCUGUCCCAAUCCUACCAAGUUGGUUCAAAAAGAAAGGACUGCGUUGAAAACAUGAGGGGGUUAAAAGAAUCAGCCCUUUUUGAAUUAAUAGUCGAUGUCGUAACCAGCUAGAAGUCGUAACCAGCUCGUAUGAAAGGAUUUCUCGACGUGAAAUAGUUAAUUUUAUUCAACAACU